AGAGAGAGACAUGCGCGCAUAUCAAUAAGCGGAGGAAAAGAAACUAACAAGGAUUCCCUUAGUAACGGCGAGUGAAGCGGGAAGAGCUCAAAUUUGAAAUCUUCAAGGUUCUACCUUGACGAAUCGUAGUUUAUAGAAGUGUUUUCUGUUAGUGGAGUGGCAAAAGUUCUUUGGAAUAGGACAUCAUAGAGGGUGAGAAUCCCGUAUUUGGUCAUUCCUCCUAGCGUUGUGAUACACUUUCAACGAGUCGGAUUGUUUGGGAAUGCAGUCCAAAAUGGGUGGUAAAUUUCAUCUAAAGCUAAAUAUUGGCGAGAGACCGAUAGCGAACAAGUACCGUGAGGGAAAGAUGAAAAGAACUUUGAAAAGAGAGUUAAACAGUACGUGAAAUUGUCAAAAGGGAAGCGUUUGACACCAGUGUUGUUUUUCCGAAAAUCAAUUACGAAUGUUUUAUUUUUGAGGAGUUAUGACUUCAUCGGCUUGCUCCUUUCUUUACUGAAACUUUCUUAAUGCACUUUUCGGUUAACAAGUCAACAUCAAUUUCUUUUGUUGUAAAAGGGUAUGAGGAAGGUGGCUUUCUUUUCGGAGAAAGUGUUUAUAGCCUUGUGCCUCUGCAAUCGGAGAGAUUGAGGUCUGCAGCGUAGAUCCUUCGGGGUUAGAUACGUUUGUGCUAAGUUAUAGCCUUUUCAUAGACAACUUGUUGACUAUGAUCAGUCAUGUAGCUUACUCGCUUAUGUCUAUUUUACCUACGCUUAGGAUGUUGAUAGUCACAGCGUGUAC
rnacentral:rRNA from 1 species